UACGGGGGGGGCAAGCGUUGUUCGGAAUUACUGGGCGUAAAGGGCUCGUAGGCGGCCAACUAAGUCGGAUGUGAAAUCCCCAGGCUCAACUUGGGAACUGCAUCCGAUACUGGAUGGCUUGAAUUCGGGAGAGGGAUGCAGAAUUCCAGGUGUAGCGGUGAAAUGCGUAGAUAUCUGGAGGAAUACCAAAGGCGAAGGCAGUCUCCUGGCAAGCUCCUGACGCUGAGGUGCGAAAGCUAGGGCAGCGAACAGG
rnacentral:rRNA from 1 species